CCUACGGGUGGCAGCAGUGGGGAAUAUUUCGCAAUGGGCGAAAGCCUGAUGCAGCGACGCCGCGUGAGGGAUGAAGGUCUUCGGAUCGUAAACCCCUGUCAGCAGGGAAGAACGGUCACUGUGCUAAUCAGCAGUGAAUUGACGGUACCUGCAAAGGAAGCACCGGCUAACUCCGUGCCAGCAGCCGCGGUAAUACGGAGGGUGCGAGCGUUAAUCGGAAUUACUGGGCGUAAAGCGCUCGUAGGCGGUAUGUCAAGUCAAGGGUGAAGUCCCCGCGCUCAACGUGGGAACUGCCUUUGAAACUGGCAAACUGGAGUGUGUGAGAGGAUAGUGGAAUUCCAGGUGUAGGAGUGAAAUCCGUAGAUAUCUGGAGGAACAUCAGUGGCGAAGGCGACUAUCUGGCACAUAACUGACGCUGAGGAGCGAAAGCGUGGGUAGCAAACAGGAUUAGAUACCCUAGUAGUC
rnacentral:rRNA from 1 species